AAAGAAUGUUCUCAUAUUAGCCCUACAAGCUGUGUUUCUCUUUCCCCAUCUCUAACAGAGUUGUAACAAAACAUUCAAGGUACUCAUUGGCUCUACUCAAGAAAUCCUAGGCAGCAACCCUGCCUUCCACUCAACAAUUUUUUCAGUUCAAAUACUCACCCAAGCCUGUAUUGGGUGGCAAGCAUCUGCUGGGUGCUGUGGAGCCUGCUAUCGGAAUGAGACCCCUGAUUCCAUGGAACCUGAAUUGCAGACCUGGGGCUCCAGCUCAGUGGUUGGGAGCAUGUGCUUGAAGUCAGAUGGACCCAGGUGUGCAUCCAACCCAGCCUACUUCUCACUGGCAGUUGGACCUUGGAAAGUCAAUGAACAUCUUUGAACCUUGGUUUAGACUCUUUAUUUGUGAGAUGGGAUUAUGGAAGCAACCACUACCAU
rnacentral:lncRNA from 1 species